CCAGGGUUUGGUUAGAUGCUUGGUCCAAGGACAUCUGCAAAUUACUCCCAACUUCCUGCUAUAUGGCCUUGCAAAGAUGUUAUGGUCUUGACUGGAUUGCUUGCAGGUCUAAGGCCAAUGCUUUUGGUUGAUUUCAUGACUCGACAUUACAUGUGUGACAUGAGCUGUUUUGAUGCCUUACUAGAUAUGUAACCUACUGGCUUGCUAUUUUAAUGUGGUACCAAGCAAUGAACAUGGUUGCAAGCUAACUUGGGUUGAUUUGUACUUUCUUGCAGGCUGAUGUGAAUGAUAUGCAACCUUGCUAAUCUCGACCAGCUUCUUCUGCCAUGGCCAUUUACUGAUGAAUUUGUGGCAACAUUCAGAAAUGUGUAGGCCCU
rnacentral:lncRNA from 1 species